GCGCGAGUGGUGGAACUGGCAGACUCGCCAGAUUCAGGUUCUGGUGUGCAAUACGCACGUGCGGGUUCAAGUCCCGCCUCGCGCACCA
rnacentral:tRNA from 1 species